CCUACGGGAGGCUGCAGUGGGGAAUAUUGCACAAUGGGGGGAACCCUGAUGCAGCGACGCCGCGUGGGUGAAGGAGUCUUUCGGUAUGUAAAGCCCUAUCAUCAGGGAAGAACAAUGACGGUAUCUGACUAAGAAGCACCGGCUAAAUACGUGCCAGCAGCCGCGGUAAUACGGAUGGGGCGAGCGUUAUCCGGAUUUACUGGGUGUAAAGGGAGCGCAGGCGGCGCGGUAAGCCUGAUGUGAAAGCGCACGGCACAACCGCGGGACUGCAUUGGGAACGGGGUCUCUGGAGUGCGGGAGGGGUAGGCGGAAUUCCUAGUGUAGCGGUGAAAUGCGUAGAUAUUAGGAGGAACACCAGUGGCGAAGGCGGACUACUGGACGGUGACUGACGCUGAGGCUCGAAAGCGUGGGGAGCAAACAGGAUUAGAUACCCUAGUAGUC
rnacentral:rRNA from 1 species